UACGUAGGUGGCGGAGCGUUGUCCGGAUUUACUGGGCGUAAAGAGCGCGCAGGCGGUCGUACAAGUCGCGUGUGAAAGCCCCCGGCUCAACUGGGGAGGGUCACGCGAUACUGUUCGACUCGAAGGCAGGAGAGGGUAGUGGAAUUCCCGGUGUAGUGGUGAAAUGCGUAGAUAUCGGGAGGAACACCAGUGGCGAAGGCGACUACCUGGCCUGUUCUUGACGCUGAGGCGCGAAAGCUAGGGUAGCAAACGGG
rnacentral:rRNA from 1 species